UUGCUUAUUUCCAAGUUCCAAAGGUUGACCCGGAGAUCAUCAGCAGAUAUAAAUGUUUCGCCGUCACUGUUAUUUGAAAUAGAGUUGAUGUGAUAGUCAUGUGCAUGAGCAUACACUCUUCUGCACCUAGCAACAAGGCUGGUCUCAUUACUUGUUACUACCACAGGUAAACGUAAUGAAGAAAAGCCCCCAGGUGGAAACGACAAAUCAUUG
rnacentral:misc_RNA from 1 species